rnacentral:rRNA from 1 species
AAUAGAUACCCUGGUAGUCCACGCCGUAAACGAUGAGUGCUAGGUGUUAGGGGGGUCCAACCCCUUAGUGCUGAAGUUAACACAUUAAGCACUCCGCCUGGGGAGUACGACCGCAAGGUUGAAACUCAAAGGAAUUGACGGGGGCCCGCACAAGCAGUGGAGCAUGUGGUUUAAUUCGAAGCAACGCGAAGAACCUUACCAGGUCUUGACAUCCUCUGACAACCCUAGAGAUAGGGCGUUCCCCUUCGGGGGACAGAGUGACAGGUGGUGCAUGGUUGUCGUCAGCUCGUGUCGUGAGAUGUUGGGUUAAGUCCCGCAACGAGCGCAACCCUUGAUGUUAGUUGCCAGCAUUCAGUUGGGCACUCUAACGUGACUGCCGGUGACAAACCGGAGGAAGGUGGGGAUGACGUCAAAUCAUCAUGCCCCUUAUGACCUGGGCUACACACGUGCUACAAUGGGCGGUACAAAGGGCAGCGAAACCGCGAGGUGGAGCCAAUCCCAUAAAGCCGCUCUCAGUUCGGAUUGCAGGCUGCAACUCCG